rnacentral:lncRNA from 1 species
UCUAGCAGCCAUUUGUGGUGAGUGAGUUUUUCAUCUAGCUUUGGUGUUUUUCUUUCUUAAAAGAAAACCUAUUUUCUGAUAUUCUACAACUCAUAUGUGUAUAUGCAAGUAGAAAGAUAGGAAUUGAACUUUAUAGAAAUGUUACUCCAGUACUUGUGUAUGUGCUAUGUUUUGAUAGAAGUUUAUUCUGAUUUAGAAAUGGUUAUUAGAUAGUUUUUUAGUAAUUGCAUUCCAACUUUCCAACAUUUGAAAGUUUAUCUAGUGUUCAUUGAAAGGACAACCCAUGGAAUUGAUCAACCCAUAGGGUGUGUCCCUAAUGUUCUCUUUUAGCAAAUGUUUGGAAUGGCUACUCAUGGGACUGAACCACCUAUAUGGGGUGCCUUGGCAUCAGCAUUGGCAUUAUAUAUAUAGUAUGAGUAUCAGAUCAGUCGGCACCUUCUUGUGAAAUAUUAUAUCCGUGGGGGCUUAUUACCAUCAUAUUAGAUAUACCGUCUCGACUACCAUAGUACAGGUGCGCUGUGGGAUAGUCGAUGGUAAGCUAAGUAGCAUGACUCAUUUCUUGGUUCAUUUUUAUAUAUUACAGCUUGUGAAUGUUUGAUAGUUAUGUAAAGUUGAAUAUAUUUCAGUAUUUUGAUUGAAAAGUUUAGAAUUGUUUCAGCAAAGCACUUAAAACUUCAAAAAUGACAGUUUUCUAUAUCGUGUUAAGCAUUAAAGUUAUAUAUUCCUAUUUUCUCCCAUUGUUAGUUGAAAUUCUUACUCACUGGGAUGUUAGUCUCAUUAUGUGGUUUAUUUUAUUUUUUCGGGACAGAUUGUAGCGCCAUAGCGUAAUAUAGCAGAGGUUGGACAGGUCAGCUGGAAGGAGCAUAUUUUGAAGAUAAAUAUAUUUUGAGAUGUUAAAUUUUAAAUAUACUUUAAUAAUGAAUGCUUAAGCCUUAUAUGAGGAUUGGUACUUGUUGAUCAUGUUAUAUGGAUGUGUAUGUAUAAAGCAUAGUGGAUGAAUGAAAGUAUGGAUUUAAUGUUGAGAAGAAAGCGGUGUGUUAAUGAAAUUAUGUGUGUCAACAUUAUGAUAUGUUGAUUUAUUUGAGCAGAAGCAAGUUCAGUUAGAAGUUUUCCCCUUUACCCUUAUCUAAGGAUACAUUUACUCUUAUUUAAGGGUGGGGUGUAGCACUUCUAUCCGGUAAUUAGGGGUGGGAUGUUACAUAGGUAGUAUUAGAGCAAGGUUUUCAUGAUUAUUUGGGAGUAUGUAAGAAUAAAUUAUUGUUCAAAGCAAGGUUUAUAAUUAAUUGAGAGUAUGUUGGAAUAAAUUGUUGAUCAGACUUAAUGGUUUAUGAUCAAUUGAAGAAAAGUUGAAGUUUAUGAUCAUUUGGGGCAAGAGUAAGUUUAUAAGUAGUAGAGAUGGUGAUGUAAGUAGUAUUUGAUGAUACAGGUGUAAUAAAGCAUUACAAUGUGUUCAAGUUAAGAGAAAGUAAGUUGAAUUCAGAUGUUUAAAAGACUAGAAUGAUUUUCAUAGAAGUUUAACAUUUAGCAAGAGAGAUGUUUUGGAAUAGUUAAAUUGCAUGGGUAUUAUUUAAUGGAUUUCAUUUCAAUAAGAAUUAUCUCAUUAAGUGACUAAUUUUAUGAUGUUAACUACAGAUGAUGGAGAUUAUUGAUUUAUCCCAAAGAUAAUGUUGACUGAAGCGGUAAGGAAGUUAGGGUUGCCAGACCCGGUGUAUGGACAAGAAAGGAAUCAAGAGCAGGUCGACAAAUCUUUUGUUGAGGUGAUUGUGAAUAGGGGAGAUCCACCUCAGGAGAUAAUAAAAGCUUUUGGUUCGUUUGGGGUUGAGCAGCUGAAAUUAGAAGAGCAAGUAGCUAUUUUCGCUCUCAAUAAUUUGCAGCAUUGGUUUCAUUUUGAAGUGCGAGAUUUUAACUUUGAGGACAAGGAGGAUUACAAGCAUUCUUAUCAAAGAAUGAGGGCUAGAUAUAAUGUUUUAAGUGCAGAGUUACAGCAGCUAAGAUGGGAUUAUGAGCGACUAAGAGAUAUUAAUCAAAAACAUAUUGAUGAAUAUUCUAAUUUGCAACGUCAAGUGGACAAACUGAGACAAGGACUUCCCCCAGACUCUGCAUCAUCUUUCAGAGAAAAUUGAUAUAUGAAAGAAAAGGAAAGGGAACAAGUAAGAAAAGUAGGAGCUGCCAAGGACAAAAGGGGUUGUGUCAAUCAGAGUAAGGAGUAACUUUUUGUAUCAAUUUAAGUAAAGAGCAUUUUGGUUAGGUUAAUUGGAGAGAAGUGUUUUGGUUAUGUUGUAUAUUUUAGGUUUGUUUUACCUAAGAAAAUGUUGAUGCAUGUACUUUAAAGUCAUGUGUAUAAAGUUAUGGAGUAAAUAAGCAAAGUUGUAAAAUUGUUUUAGUUUAUGAUCAUUGGCAUGUUUGGUUCCAAGCCUAGCAAGUUGGUUUGCAAUAAUGAUUUGAGUUUCGGAAUGUUUUUAAGUGCAAGAAUCUAAAUUUUGAUGAUGAAAUUCUUUAAAGGAGGAGAGAAAUGUAACAUCCCAAACCAAGGAUGUCAUGAUAUUCGAGAAUUUAAUUCAAAUAUAGUAUUUAUUUAUAUAUCAUAGUAUGUUAUGAGCACUGGAACCCUAAUGGAUUAGUAAUAUUAAGGAAGUUUGGGUAUAAAUGUAAUUAAGAAGGAAGAUGAUUAAAGACUUAAAAAUUAAUAGUAAUGGUAUAAAAAAUUAAAGUUUGGUGAUCAUUAAACAAGACUAAAUGAAAUCUUGAAGGGUUCUUAGAUAAAGUUGAUUUGGAUAGUAAUUUUGAAGUGCAAAUGGAUGAUUUGUGGUAGAUUUCUGAACCCCAGGAGACUGGGUCGACUCAAUUUGAGGAUGGGUCGGCUCAGUCAUAGGAAACAGAAGCAUAUUAGAAGAUCUAUAGUAGUGCACAGUUAGUCGACCCAAUUUUGAACUGAGUUGACUAAGUUGAAUUGGGUCGGCUCAAUUUUAGGGUGGGUCGCCUAACUGUGCGGGAAAGCUUGAGCGGUGGGGUUCUGCUGAGUGGCUGAACUUUGAGAUUUUAAAUUAAUUUUCAAGGAGGUUACUCAGUAGUUGUUUUAAUUUAAAUUAAGGGUUGGAAAACCUAAAUAAGUGUUGGAAAAUUUAUGAGAUGGACUCCUAACCAGGUGGGCUUUUAAAAUUUCUUUUCCUAAGGAGGCUGUCCAUCGAUUCUUCCUAAGUUUGGUAGUUCUGGAUCUUGGGUGCAACUAGAGAGGAUAGAGAUGGUGAGAAGCUAGAAAGGAAGGUGUUCUCAGUUGAAACCAAGGGAGAAUUCAGUUGGAGCGAGGGAAUUUAGUGAUAAAUUAAAGUGAAGAAAGAAAAGUUGCUGACAAGGAAAAGAAAGAAGCUUGUUUUGGAUUUGCAGCAGGAUUUUCUUCAUUUGAGG